rnacentral:rRNA from 1 species
CAGUAGCCGCGGUAAUACGAAGGGGGCUAGCGUUGUUCGGAAUUACUGGGCGUAAAGCGCACGUAGGCUGACAUUUAAGUCAGGGGUGAAAUCCCGGGGCUCAACCUCGGAACUGCCUUUGAUACUGGGUGCCUUGAGUGUGGAAGAGGUAAGUGGAAUUGCGAGUGUAGAGGUGAAAUUCGUAGAUAUUCGCAGGAACACCAGUGGCGAAGGCGGCUUACUGGUCCACAACUGACGCUGAGGUGCGAAAGCGUGGGGAGCAAACAGGAUUAGAUACCCCUGUAGUCCCUGUCUCUUAUAC